rnacentral:rRNA from 1 species
UACGUAGGGGCUAGCGUUAUCCGGAAUUACUGGGCGUAAAGGGUGCGUAGGUGGUUUCUUAAGUCAGAGGUGAAAGGCUACGGCUCAACCGUAGUAAGCUUUUGGAACUGUAAGACUUGAGUGCAGGAGAGGAGAGUGGAAUUCCUAGUGUAGCGGUGAAAUGCGUAGAUAUUAGGAGGAACACCAGUAGCGAAGGCGGCUCUCUGGACUGUAACUGACGCUGAGGCACGAAAGCGUGGGGAGCAAACAGGAUUAGAUACCCGUGUAGUCACU